rnacentral:rRNA from 1 species
GAUGAACGCUAGCGGCAGGCUUAACACAUGCAAGUCGAGGGGUAUGCUUCUUCGGGAGCAGAGACCGGCGCACGGGUGCGUAACGCGUAUGCAAUCUGCCUUUUACAGGGGGAUAGCCCAGAGAAAUUUGGAUUAAUACCCCAUGGUAUUAUAGGGUGGCAUCACCUUAUAAUUAAAGUCACAACGGUAAAAGAUGAGCAUGCGUCCCAUUAGCUUGUUGGUAGGGUAACGGCCUACCAAGGCUACGAUGGGUAGGGGUCCUGAGAGGGAGAUCCCCCACACUGGUACUGAGACACGGACCAGACUCCUACGGGAGGCAGCAGUGAGGAAUAUUGGUCAAUGGGCGCAAGCCUGAACCAGCCAUGCCGCGUGCAGGAUGACGGUCCUAUGGAUUGUAAACUGCUUUUGUACGGGAAGAAACACUCCUACGUGUAGGAGCUUGACGGUACCGUAAGAAUAAGGAUCGGCUAACUCCGUGCCAGCCGCCGCAGUAAGAC